CUACGGGUGGCAGCAGGCGAGAAAACUUUGCAAUGUGCGGAAGCACGACAAGGUUAAUCCGAGUGGUUUCUGCUAAAGGAACCUUUUGACAGUCCUAGAAACACUGUUGAAUAAGGGGUGGGCAAGUUCUGGUGUCAGCCGCCGCGGUAAAACCAGCACCUCAAGUGGUCAGGAUGAUUAUUGGGCCUAAAGCAUCCGUAGCCGGCUCUGUAAGUUUUCGGUUAAAUCUGUACGCUCAACGUACAGGCUGCCGGGAAUACUGCAGAGCUAGGGAGUGGGAGAGGUAGACGGUACUCGGUAGGAAGGGGUAAAAUCCUUUGAUCUAUUGAUGACCACCUGUGGCGAAGGCGGUCUACCAGAACACGUCCGACGGUGAGGGAUGAAAGCUAGGGGAGCAAACCGGAUUAGAUACCCGAGUAGUC
rnacentral:rRNA from 1 species